GACGAACGCUGGCGGCGUGCUUAACACAUGCGAGUCGAACGGUAAGGCCCUUCGGGGUACACGAGUGGCGAACGGGUGAGUAACACGUGGGUGAUCUGCCCUGCACUUCGGGAUAAGCCUGGGAAACUGGGUCUAAUACCGGAUAGGACCACUGCCUGCAUGGGUGGUGGUGGAAAGCUUUUGCGGUGUGGGAUGGGCCCGCGGCCUAUCAGCUUGUUGGUGGGGUGAUGGCCUACCAAGGCGACGACGGGUAGCCGGCCUGAGAGGGUGACCGGCCACACGGGGACUGGGAUACGGCCCAGACUCCUACGGGAGGCAGCAGUGGGGAAUAUUGCACAAUGGGCGCAAGCCUGAUGCAGCGACGCCGCGUGAGGGAUGACGGCCUUCGGGUUGUAAACCUCUUUCAGCACCGACGAAGCGCAAGUGACGGUAGGUGCAGAAGAAGGACCGGCCAACUACGUGCCAGCAGCAGCCGCGG
rnacentral:rRNA from 1 species